GUAGCUAAAGAUUAGAUGCCCGGACCACCAUCUCUCAAAGGUUGACAUACCAUGUCUCAUGGCAACAAAUGGACAUCACCCCCACCUCCCAAGCAAGACCCCCAUAAGAAACUCUGAAAGGGUGACUCCAACUUCGCCACCAGAGAUCUUAGGAGUAUUAUUUUGAUAGCAGGUAAGCAGGCACGGAACUGAGAACAAACCUCACCAGGGUGACCC
rnacentral:lncRNA from 1 species